AUACGGAGGGUCCAAGCGUUAUCCGGAAUCGUUGGGUUUAAAGGGUCCGUAGGCGGGCAAUUAAGUCAGAGGUGAAAUCCCACAGCUCAACUGUGGAACUGCCUUUGAUACUGGUUGUCUUGAGUUAUAGUGAAGUAGAUAGAAUAUGUAGUGUAGCGGUGAAAUGCAUAGAUAUUACAUAGAAUACCGAUUGCGAAGGCAGUCUACUAACUGUAUACUGACGCUAAUGGACGAAAGCGUGGGGAGCGAACAGGAUUAGAAACCCUAGUAGUCC
rnacentral:rRNA from 1 species